GACGAACGCUGGCGGCGUGCCUAAUACAUGCAAGUCGAGCGGACCUCUUCGGAGGUCAGCGGCGGACGGGUGAGUAACACGUGGGCAACCUGCCUGUAAGACUGGGAUAACACCGGGAAACCGGUGCUAAUACCGGAUAAUCCUUUUCCACUCAUGUGGGGAAGCUGAAAGACGGCGUCUAGCUGUCACUUACAGAUGGGCCCGCGGCGCAUUAGCUAGUUGGUGGGGUAACGGCCCACCAAGGCGACGAUGCGUAGCCGACCUGAGAGGGUGAUCGGCCACACUGGGACUGAGACACGGCCCAGACUCAUACGGGAGGCAGCAGUAGGGAAUCUUCCGCAAUGGACGAAAGUCUGACGGAGCAACGCCGCGUGAGCGAAGAAGGCCUUCGGGUCGUAAAGCUCUGUUGUCAGGGAAGAACAAGUAUCGGAGUAACUGCCGGUACCUUGACGGUACCUGACCAGAAAGCCACGGCUAACUACGUGCCAGCCGCCGCGGUAAUAC
rnacentral:rRNA from 1 species